UCCGGCUUAUCACCGGCAGUCCCUUUAGAGUGCCCAACUUAAUGAUGGCAGCUAAAGGCGAGGGUUGCGCUCGUUGCGGGACUUAACCCAACAUCUCACGACACGAGCUGACGACAGCCAUGCAGCACCUGUCACUCAUCCAGCCGAACUGAAGGGAUCCAUCUCUGGAACCCGCGAUGAGGAUGUCAAACGCUGGUAAGGUUCUUCGCGUUGCGUCGAAUUAAACCACAUGCUCCGCUGCUUGUGCGGGGCCCCGUCAAUUCCUUUGAGUUUUAGCCUUGCGGCCGUACUCCCCAGGCGGGGUGCUUAAUGCGUUAGCUUCGGCACGGAGGGAGUCGACACCCCCCACACCUAGCACCCAUCGUUUACGGCGUGGACUAC
rnacentral:misc_RNA from 1 species